rnacentral:misc_RNA from 1 species
UUUUAGUGUUGUGUUUUCCGUCCUCUUUAUUAACAUUAUGAAUCAGACAAUGUUCGCGGGCAAUGUAACCUAGAGGGAGCACAAGUCUGUCUGGCCAACAUCAGCAUUCCCGACCAAAACACCCAAGACAUACGGGAGGCCUGUCAGGCGUAUAAAAAUGUAGACUCCUGCCUCUCCCCAUUCCAAGCCAGCUGUCAGCAGGACCCAAGCUACCAGGAAAUGAUCUCGGGGUUUGCCGUUAUAGAGAGUUACUGUGUCGGUAAUGAAAACUGCGACCCGUCUAAAUGUUACCAAAUCGUUGGAAUAGACAUAUCUGGAGCUAGUCAGCCAUCUCAGGACACCAACAAAUGCGCAAAAUAUGCUGAUUUUAAGAAGUGCGUGGAAAUCCAAACUCCUGCGUGUGAAGGGAACAUUAUGUUAAGCAUGUUAAACGAGACCUACGCCGCUCUAACAAUAGCAUGCACGGAGGAAAUCAAUCCGGGUGCCAUGACCCCUGAUUGUGAUAUCCAGGCCUUUGGAAAGUGUGUGGCUGAGUCAGGCAUAGACCCAGGAACUCUGCAGAAAAAAUACAACUGUGAUAUAUUAAAAGCAACGUCAGCUUGCAUCUCAAAAUUUGAAUCCAAAUGUAAGGAACACUCUAUGUACUCAGCCAUGGCCUCGGAGAUUAAACAACUUAUAAAGGGUUGUGAAACAAUCUGUAGAAUUGACGGGUGUUUGGCUGGGUUAGAAUUUCCUGUUGACAAUUGCAUAAACAUAAACAAUUCUAUAGCUUGUGUAGAAGCAAAGAAAUAUGAAUGCCAAGAAGAUUCCUCUUUGCAAGACACAGUCGAUGAGCUCAACAAACUCUGUACUGAAAUAUCAGGAAAGCGAGAACAAUCAGCUUACAAAACCUGCUUUGAUGAGGCAAAAAUUAAUACAAAUUGUCAGAAAAUCUUGGAAACUCUACCAGAAAAUGACAGUACAGACAAAGUCUGCCAAAAAGUAACCGAGUAUUCCAUGUGCGCUAAGAGGUCUCUCUCAGGGUGUGACGGCGAGGUAGAGGACUUUGUUACAGACACGUCGAAGAAACUCAUCAGCCUGAGAACCAGGCGGAAGGAUGGCAUCGAGUGUCCAACAAGUAGCGGAAGAGCUUUCAUUCCAACAUCAUGGAUAGCUAUUACAGGGCUUCUAGUAUUCUUGACAAUGAAUGCUCAGUAAAUUUGGAUGUCAGAUACCACCUGUUAUUAGCUUUUUAAUCUCUCAGGCAUAUUCUUAUUUACCUUCAAUGUUUGUGUAUUAAAUCUUCGACAACCAUUGGGAAGUUAAUUACAUUACCAAAAAUUCAUGACAAUGUAUAUCAUAUACAUGUAUAACAUUUUGUCGUAAUUGCCACGUUAUUUAGUAUAUUAGGUAUAAAUAUUGAUCAAAAAUCGGCUGCACUUGCAAUAGUAAAGAAACAUUGGGGGAAAACAUGCAGUACUGUCAUAUAAAAGUCACUUGAGUGAAUCCGAUGAAUUACUUGCUCAUUAAAAAUGUUUUAUGAAAAUGAUUUUGGGGUUACACUAAUGAGAUGAGGCAUAUUUGAUAUUUCAAUGUAAUGCUAAUUAUGAUUAUAAGCCCACAUAAAACUUUAUUUAUAGCAAUCUGUAUUAUAUGUUUUUGUACCAUGUAGUGUUAUUGAACACAUCAAUUAGAGGAUCGACCUGACAUAAGUAUGAAUGUCAGAUGAAUAAAUUCAACUCAUAUGAACUAAUUGACCCUUCAAACUGUUGCCUUCUUUUUGUGAUAUAUUUAUCAGCUUGUAUUGGAUUUCUGAACACAUGUUAGCUGUUGAUCUUGAAUGUUUCAAUAUUUACUAGUUUUGUACAUGCCAUUGCGAAUUGGUUGUUUAAUGUAUCACAUUUGUAUUUGAAAUAAAACUCUCCAACCUUUC